AGUGAAUAGAUACCCGGGUAGUCCAUGCCGUAAACGUUGGGCACUAGGUGUGGGGGACAUUCCACGUUUUCCGCGCCGUAGCUAAACGCAUUAAGUGCCCCGCCUGGGGAGUACGGCCGCAAGGCUAAAACUCAAAGGAAUUGACGGGGGCCCGCACAAGCGGCGGAGCAUGCGGAUUAAUUCGAUGCAACGCGAAGAACCUUACCAAGGCUUGACAUGGACCGGAUCGCUGCAGAAAUGUGGUUUCUCCUUUUGGGGCCGGUUCACAGGUGGUGCAUGGUUGUCGUCAGCUCGUGUCGUGAGAUGUCGGGUUAAGUCCCGCAACGAGCGCAACCCUCGUUCCAUGUUGCCAGCACGUGAUGGUGGGGACUCAUGGGAGACUGCCGGGGUCAACUCGGAGGAAGGUGGGGACGACGUCAAAUCAUCAUGCCCCGUUAUGUCUUGGGCUUCACGCAUGCUACAAUGGCCGGUACAAGGGUUGCGAUACUGUGAGGUGGAGCUAAUCCCGAAAAGCCGGUCUCAGUUCGAAUUGGGGUCUGCAACUC
rnacentral:rRNA from 1 species